UCAGUGUACCCAGAGAUCAUGCACUUUGCCCACUUUUGGUCAUACUGGUCACUGAGUGAAAUGUUUGGCACUUUCAGUCGCAAGAAAACGUAGCUCAUCUGAGUACUUUUCUUCACAUAUAUGUAUACGAGUGUACAUAUAUUCUUUGCUCACUCAGUAUAAAAUCGGCAUAAAAGCUGUGAAGUGUUCCAGCGCAUCUCACAACGUUCCGCCUCGUUUUGCAUGGACUGGAACAACUACAUAAUGUAGAAAUCCACGAUAUAUCGCACAAUUUCAAAGAAUGGAUACUAUCGAUAGUGGCACCGAUGGUGUUUGCAGCCCUGCGUUACACAGGAACAUAUAUAUAUUUGUUUGUUAUUAUUAAUUACCGUAGGAGCUUAACAUGAAAUCUGAAAAACUGAAAAGGAACUUUUGGGUUACUGCUGAAAUAGAAUGCAUGCUUAAGUUAAUAGGGGAGUUUAAUAAUGUACAAAGAUCUAUAUCUGCAAAUACGACACAAAACACAUUUAACCAAAUUGCCAAUAGAAUGAAAAAAAACGGAUUUCCAAACAAAUCACCCACGCAAAUACGAAGAAAAUGGUUUCAAAUGAAAUCUGCGUAUCUAUGUUACAAAAAAGGCAAUAUAGACCGACUGUUUCUUAUACCUGAAAGAUUUCGUAAUGUAAUUGCACAGUUCGUAGAAAACGGCGAUAAGUUAGGGCGUUCAUGUAGUAACUCGACCAUAUCGCCGACUAAUCAAUCAAAUAGCUACGGUGAGUUGAACUAUUACCAAAACAUUUUAUAAAAGUAUCUGUGCAUACAUACAUACAUAUGUACCUACUAAUGAUGCAUUUUACCUAUAUUUUUAGAAGUCAAUUCUUUAGUGAUGGAUAAAUUUUUGAACCAAGUCAAAAAGAAUAAUAAAUUAGUUAAUUUAGAAUAUACAAAACUGGAGAGAUCUCUCUUGCAAUACGAACACAAAUGGCAAAUCGUUCGAGAUGAUAAUAUAAUUAAAAAUAUUAAAUAGUUAUAUUGUAUUGUAACAAGUUCAUUCUCUUAAAUGAAUGCUAAAUAUAUUUUCUUCUAUAGGUUAAUCUUGUUGAUCAACUUUUCCGAAUGGUUCUUACGAUGGCGGGCUGAUAAAAAGUCGACCUACUAAAUACAAUCUAAAAGCUCGUACCUUACGUAUCUUUUCCAGCAUUUCUCCAACAUUUUGUAAGUCCCCCAAAGAAUAGGAUUUGUCGAGGUCGUGAAAACUUUAAUUUUUCGUGAGAUGCCUUCAACGUUGAACUCAAAUCUAUUUCCGCCCAGGCGUUUCUUCAGGAUUGAUGAAACAAAAUAGUCAUGGAAUUUUUUAUAAUUGGCC
rnacentral:lncRNA from 1 species